rnacentral:rRNA from 1 species
CGGUUAGGCUUAUUUGCACCCUUUACAAUUUUGAUUUGGCGAACCCCUUUUUAUUAACACGUGGACUACCUGCCUCAAGGCUGGGGAUAACAUUUGGAAACAGAUGCUAAUACCGAAUAAAACUUAGUGUCGCAUGACACAAAGUUAAAAGGCGCUUCGGCGUCACCUAGAGAUGGAUCCGCGGUGCAUUAGUUAGUUGGUGGGGUAAAGGCCUACCAAGACAAUGAUGCAUAGCCGAGUUGAGAGACUGAUCGGCCACAUUGGGACUGAGACACGGCCCAAACUCCUACGGGAGGCUGCAGUAGGGAAUCUUCCACAAUGGGCGAAAGCCUGAUGGAGCAACGCCGCGUGUGUGAUGAAGGCUUUCGGGUCGUAAAGCACUGUUGUAUGGGAAGAACAGCUAGAAUAGGAAAUGAUUUUAGUUUGACGGUACCAUACCAGAAAGGGGACGGCUAAAAUACGUGCCCACAGCCGCGGUAAUACGUAUGUCCCGAGCGUUAUCCGGAUUUAUUGGGCGUAAAGCGAGCGCAGACGGUUUAUUAAGUCUGAUGUGAAAGCCCGGAGCUCAACUCCGGAAUGGCAUUGGAAACUGGUUAACUUGAGUGCAGUAGAGGUAAGUGGAACUCCAUGUGUAGCGGUGGAAUGCGUAGAUAUAUGGAAGAACACCAGUGGCGAAGGCGGCUUACUGGACUGCAACUGACGUUGAGGCUCGAAAGUGUGGGUAGCAAACAGGAUUAGAUACCCUGGUAGUCCACACCGUAAACGAUGAACACUAGGUGUUAGGAGGUUCCGCCUCUUAUGCCGAGCUAAGCAUUAGUGUUCCCCUGGGGAGUCNACCCCAGGUUGAACUCAAGGAUU